rnacentral:misc_RNA from 1 species
UUCUGUUAAAUUAUUUAGUCUCUCUAUCAAAUUUUUUAUUAGUCAAUAUCAGUCAAACCACUAUUCAGUAAUUCUACUUUAGUGAUACCAAUUAGUCAGUUUUUGUAUUUUGAAUAGCAUUAUUAUUUAGUUCUUCCAUUUUAGUAAAACUAAUUAAUUGUUUCCUAUAAUUUGGAAAACAUGUUCCUAGAUGAAAAACAAAAAUAUUAUUAUGUGUAGACUAAGUCUGAAUUUAUAUUUUCUUUAGAUUGCUCAAGUAUAAUUUCAUUCAAUUUCCUGGGAAUUAUUUUUGUAUUUUCUUUAUUGUGAUCAAUUUUCUUGAAUUAUCGCUUUGAUUACUUAGAGACUUGAUCAAGUAUUGUUUCUCAAUAGAGAAAAUAUAAAAAUGAUGCCUACGCAAUUAAUUGAAA